GAGAUGGACUGUCCUGGGAGUUUACAGCAAAAUUACCCAGUAGAGUGAGGCAGAGAAGACAAGCAAAGAUUCUUGCCUCGAAUCUUUCUGUUUAAAAUAUGUAUCUACAUAAUAUGAGUGGUGCAUCAUCACUGGCAAUUUUGAAAUUCCCCAGUUAAUCUCUAGAAGCAGUUUUGUGAACUUACUUGCAGUAUCACGGCCCACCCAGUGGUUACCAAAAAUAGAAAUUGAAGUCAGGGAAUAUCUGAGGCUACCAGAUUGAUUCUAUUCAGGUCGCUAAAUGAUUCACAUAAAGUGUAACCCAACACACCCUCCGGGUCACAAGAUGCUUGAGGGUGAAGAGCCAGGACCCAGAGCCUUGGAGCCCAGGCCCACAGGAGACUGCAGCCACCCAGGGAGCCAGGGCUCGGGUGUCCCAGGAAUAGCCAGGGUCAAGCUCUGCCUCCCAUCCUCAGGCUCAGCCUUCACCUUGAUCGGAUUUCCUGGUCUCCUUCAUUCCCACAUCAUCCACUCUGCUGAAUUCCUUCCAUAGAUGAUCACUUCUCCCCAGGACACCGCCCCAGCAGCAAGUAACAGCCUGCCUGGCAGCGAGCCUUGCACGGGCCCAUCCCCACCCGCUCACAGGCACACACUGGCUUGUUCAGGAGGCUAUCAGACAAACAAAUUAAGACAGACAUGUGAAUACUGCCAUGCAAUACAGAGCAAUGGAUGGGAGGAAAGUCCAUAUUUUGUCGUCUUAUCUCCAGGAAGAAAUGAAGGCGGGAAGAGUAAGAAUGAUGCCCUGUUCCUUAACAAAACACUUUGUGCAUUCUUUAUUGUGUCAUAGCUGUGCAAGGAAACAAAGCUAUUGCAUUUUAUUUGGGCUGGAAAUGUAAAAUCUUUAAAAUAUAACUUUUAGAAGGAAGGCAGUUGCUCUUUUUCCUCGUGUCUUAUCAUGAGAGUCAUUUGAUCCAAGAUACUGCUCCUUAACUUACGCUUUUUAUUUGGAAGAAACACUAACGAUACUUCUUAGGGAUAUUGUACAGAGAAAGUAGGUUGCACAUUUAACCUUAGGAACAGAAACUGCUGUUGCUUAAGUACCGCUCACCCUUUCACCACCUGAGAUGAAGAAUGACUCAACCAUAUGAUGAAACAGAGAAAGCCAUGUUUCUAAUGAGGCCAGAGCCUGAAGGCAGAAACCCUUCAAGAGCUGAAUUUCCCAUUUUGUUGCCAACAACAAAUAAACUCAGUGUUCCUUCAAUGACGAUUAAUCCGGCAAAAACCAUGCAGAAAUGAAGGAGCUUUAAAAUGAUCAUCAUUCAUCAACCCAACCAUCUCCCUUGGAUACCCACUUCAUUACUAAGAGAGUAAUUAUUUUUGUGUUGUCAGUUUUAGGGAAAAGCCCUUGAGGAUUAUUCAUUGGUAAUUGGAAAAAUAAAUGUUAAUGUCUUCUGUGGAUUAGGAAAGAAUGUUUUAUGACUAACUGUUUAGACGCUUCUGUUGCAUUGCCUGAGUUUGGAAGCUUCAUUGGUUUUCCAGCCAAGGCUUCAUAAAAGCUUUCAAAUUACCUGUAGCUGUCAGAGAGGAGUCUCCUCAAGGAGAUGGAUGAAGCUUGCCCACGAUG
rnacentral:lncRNA from 1 species